AGGAAUUGAUUCCUUACACAGCUGUAGAUUUCAGUGUAUCUGUGGGAGGAACUGAGUUCAAGACCUUCCGACAACACCAUCUUGAAUCUAUUUAUUCAUCGUGAGCUUUUGACCAACCCAGGAAGCAAUCGUGAAAUGUUAAAUAUGCAAGAUCACCUAAUGUGAUUAUUUGGUCUGGAGUAUUGAAAGAGCCUGUCUUUGAAGCCUGCCUCUGACACUUACCUGCUGUGUUAACUUGAAGCAAUUCCUUAACUUCUCUGAACCUCAAAUCUCAUCAUGGAUGUAACAGUUUCUGCCUCUCACGAUAGAGAUGCUGACUCCCAGAAAUGAAAUGACUUGGCCAAAGUCACACUGCUAGAGAGGAAGAAAACCGAGAUCCACUCUGAUGGGCUUCCUGCAGGCCUCGCAUGAAGAGUGUGGCAAACAGUUCUAGUAUUUCUGGCAGCAUGGAAAGCUGGCCCACGAUGGAGAACGUUCCUAAUCCCCUCUCUGCAAAAAUCUAUACAUCAUUUUCCCAGUGUCUCAAGAAAUGCAUUCCUGGAAAUGUGCAUGUGUGUUACUUAAUCACGCAGCUGCAGCAUGGGGAUACAGAAAGAAAUAAGCAGUUAUGUGUACAAGGAACUGUGAUGUCUCAGAUGAUUUGUAAGAACUGGGUGAAGAAGCUGGAGUCCAAGGCUGUGGACACAGAUCCUGUGACCUCACACGAUGAUGAUUUUAGCAGCCUCCCAGCAAGUCUUCUGCACAUCAGUGGCUACUGCCUUCAAAUCUAUCUUCCACAUUGUCUUUGUGAAGCUUUUUAAUAAUAAAGACCUGGUCCUCAGUGCUAUAUUUUAAAUGGAUAACCAACAAGGAUCUACUGUAUAGCCAAAAAAAGUAAUAAUAAUCUGGUCCUGUCCUACCCCCCGCCCCAGGUGUUUAAUUUUCCCCAAACUUUUAUAGGAGGAAGUUCUAAGAUCAUCAGCAAUUUCAAAGGACUUUCCAGUCUGUUUCCAAGCCCCCUUCCUUUGUAGAAAGUUGAGGUUUCCCAGCCUGCCUUCUUGAGCUGUGCAGAGGCCUACCAGUGUGACUCCUCAGUCCCUAAGGAUCUCUUUACCUUUACCAUCCUAUUCCCUCUUCCUGGAAUGUCUUUCUUUGAUAUCUUGGCAAGUCGAAGUUUCAUCCACUAUUGUUUAAAACCUUUACAGGACAGUCCAGAUAGAUGCAUGUAGUCUCCCCUCUGAGAUCACAGAGCAUCUGCUGUCUUCUAGAAUAGAGCUUUCAUACCUGCCCUAACUUCUCUGUGAGCAUAUAUACCUUAGAGGUGUUGAAAGAUGGGAGGUGAGGGACAUGGAACAUCAGGUAUUGAUGAAUCACACACAGUAUCAGAACUGCACCUUCCAUGAUGGAUCCCAGUGUCACACAUGACUAUUUAGAGUUUAACUAGUCAAAAUUAAAUCUAUUAAAAACACUUCAGUCCUAUAAGCCAAAUUUCAACUAUUCAAUAGCCACAUGUGGUUAGUGGCUACCAUACUGAAAAGCAGGGACAUAAAAUAUUUCUAUCAUCAUAGAAAAUUCUAUUGGUCAGUGCUUAUCUAGAACACAGUAAAUGAUCAAUAAAUAUCUGAAGAGGAAAGAAAGAAUGAAGGGAGAGAAAUAAAGAAUGAAGAAAAAUAAAAUUCCAAAGGAUGCCAAGAGAAAUGGUCCAAGACUUGGAAAUAGAGAAAAACAAUUACAGAGUAUAGUUUCAAGGGCUGCAAAUUUGUAGUCCAGUUCAGAUGUGAGAGUUGAAUCAUAAAGAAGGCUGAGCACUAAAGAACUAACUGAUAGAUGCUUUCAAACUGUGGUGCUGGAGAAGACUCUUGAGAGUCCCUUGNNNNNNNNNNNNNNNNNNNNNNNNNNNNNNNNNNNNNNNNNNNNNNNNNNNNNNNNNNNNNNNNNNNNNNNNNNNNNNNNNNNNNNNNNNNNNNNNNNNAUGCUUUCAUAAUGUGGUGCUGGAAAAGACUCUUGAGAGUCCCUUGGGCUGUGAAGAGAUCUAACUAGUCAAUCCUGAAAGAUAUCAACCUUGUGUUCACUGGAAGGGCUGAUGGUGAAGCUGAAGCAAAGGGCCAUCUUAUGUGAAGAACUGAUGCUAGGAAAGAUUGAGGGUAGGAGGAGAAGGGAGUGACAGGAAGAGAUGAUUGGAUGGCAUCACUGACUCAAUGGGCAUAAGUUUGAGUAAACUCCAGGAGAUAGUGAAGGACAGGGAAGCCUGGAAUACUACAGUCCAUGGCAUCUGGUCCCAUUACUUCAUAGGAAAUAGAUGGGGAAAGAAUGGAAGCAGUGGCAAACUUUGUUUUCUUCUUAAAAUUAAAAGAAGCUUACUCCUUGGUAGAAAAGCUAUGACAAACUUAGCAUAUUAAGAAGCAGAAACAUUACUUUGCCAACAAAGUCCGUGUAGUCAAAGCUAUUGUUUUUCCAGUAGUCAUGUAUGG
ensembl:lncRNA